AUUGAAUGCUGGCGGCAUGCCUUACACAUGCAAGUCGAACGUGAAAGGGGGGCAACCCCCGAGUAGAGUGGCGGACGGGUGAGUAACACAUCGGAACGUACCCAGUAGUGGGGAACAACCUCGAGAAAUCGAGGCUAAUACCGCAUACGACCCACGGGUGAAAGCGGGGGACCGCAAGGCCUCGCGCUAUUGGAGCGGCCGAUGUCCGAUUAGCUUGUUGGCGGGGUAAGAGCCCACCAAGGCGACGAUCGGUAGCUGGUCUGAGAGGAUGAUCAGCCACACUGGGACUGAGACACGGCCCAGACUCCUACGGGA
rnacentral:rRNA from 1 species